rnacentral:piRNA from 1 species
AGGUGUUUAGAUGGUUACUGUGGG